rnacentral:rRNA from 1 species
UACGUAGGCAGCAAGCGUUGUUCGGAGUUACUGGGCGUAAAGGGUGCGUAGGCGGCCGUGUAAGUGUGGUGUGAAAUCUCCCGGCUUAACUGGGAGGGUGCGCUACAGACUGCAUGGCUAGAGUGUGGGAGAGGAAAGUGGAAUUCCUGGUGUAGCGGUGAAAUGCGUAGAUAUCAGGAGGAACACCGGUGGUGUAAACGGCUUUCUGGACCAUAACUGACGCUGAGGCACGAAAGCGUGGGUAGCAAACAGG